rnacentral:rRNA from 1 species
AGAGUUUGAUCCUGGCUCAGAGUGAACGCUGGCGGUGUGCCUAACACAUGCAAGUCGAACGGUAACAGGUUAAGCUGACGAGUGGCGCACGGGUGAGUAAAAGAUAGCUAACAUUCCCUUUGGAGGGGAACAACAGAUAGAAAUGUCUGCUAAUACCCCAUACUCCGAGCAAUCGGGAAACGGUUUUUCGCCAAAGGAUUGGGCUAUCACCUAUCAGUUAGUUGGCAGGGUAAAAGCCUACCAAGACUAUGACGGGUAACUGGUCUGAGAGGACAAUCAGUCACACUGGAACUGAGACACGGUCCAGACUCCUACGGGAGGCAGCAGUGGGGAAUAUUGCGCAAUGGGGGAAACCCUGACGCAGCAACACCGCGUGGAGGAUGGAGCAUUUCGAUGUGUAAACUCCUUUUGAGAGGGAAGAAUAAAGACGGUACCUCUCGAAUAAGCACCGGCUAACUCCGUGCCAGCAGCCGCGGUAAUACGGAGGGUGCAAGCGUUACUCGGAAUCACUGGGCGUAAAGAACGCGUAGGCGGGGUUAUAAGUCUUGAGUGAAAUACUAUAGCUUAACUAUAGAAUUGCUUGAGAAACUAUAAUCCUAGAAUCUGAAAGAGGUAAAUGGAAUUAGUAGUGUAGGGGUAAAAUCCGUAGAUAUUACUAGGAAUACCAAAAGCGAAAGCAAUUUUACUGGGUCAGUAUUGACGCUGUGGCGUGAAAGUGUGGGUAGCAAACAGGAUUAGAUACUCUGGUAGUCCACACCCUAAACUAUGAACGCUAGUCGUCGGAGAGUUAUAUCUUUUCGGUGAUGCAGUUAACACGUUAAGCAUUCCGCCUGGGGAGUACGGUCGCAGUUAAAACUCAAGGAAUAGACGGGGACCCGCACAGUUGGUGGAGUAUGUGGU